GACGAACGCUGGCGGCGUGCCUAAUACAUGCAAGUCGAACGCUGAAGGAGGAGCUUGCUUCCCUGGAUGAGUUGCGAACGGGUGAGUAACGCGUAGGUAACCUGCCUGGUAGCGGGGGAUAACUAUUGGAAACGAUAGCUAAUACCGCAUAAGAGUAGAUGUUGCAUGACAUUUACUUAAAAGGUGCAAUUGCAUCACUACCAGAUGGACCUGCGUUGUAUUAGCUAGUUGGUGAGGUAACGGCUCACCAAGGCAACGAUACAUAGCCGACCUGAGAGGGUGAUCGGCCACACUGGGACUGAGACACGGCCCAGACUCCUACGGGAGGCAGCAGUAGGGAAUCUUCGGCAAUGGACGGAAGUCUGACCCAGCAAAGCCGCGUGAGUGAAGAAGGUUUUCGGAUCGUAAAGCUCUGUUGUAAGAGAAGAACGAGUGUGAGAGUGGAAAGUUCACACUGUGACGGUAUCUUACCAGAAAGGGACGGCUAACUACGUG
rnacentral:rRNA from 1 species